UACGUAGGGUGCAAGCGUUGUCCGGAAUUAUUGGGCGUAAAGAGCUCGUAGGCGGUCUGUCGCGUCGGAUGUGAAAACUCGGGGCUCAACCCCGAGCCUGCAGUGGGUACGGGCGGGCUGGAGUUCGGUAGGGGAGACUGGAAUUCCUGGUGUAGCGGUGAAAUGCGCAGAUAUCAGGAGGAACACCGGUGGCGAAGGCGGGUCUCUGGCUCAUUACUGACGCUCAGGCGCGAUAGCGUGGGGAUCAAACAGG
rnacentral:rRNA from 1 species